GAUGAACGCUGGCGGCGUGCCUAAUACAUGCAAGUCGAGCGAACGGACGAGAAGCUUGCUUCUCUGAUGUUAGCGGCGGACGGGUGAGUAACACGUGGAUAACCUACCUAUAAGACUGGGAUAACUUCGGGAAACCGGAGCUAAUACCGGAUGAUAUUUUGAACCGCAUGGUUCAAAAGUGAAAGACGGUCUUGCUGUCACUUAUAGAUGGAUCCGCGCUGCAUUAGCUAGUUGGUAAGGUAACGGCUUACCAAGGCAACGAUGCAUAGCCGACCUGAGAGGGUGAUAGGCCACACUGGAACUGAGACACGGUCCAGACUCCUACGGGAGGCAGCAGUAGGGAAUCUUCCGCAAUGGGCGAAAGCCUGACGGAGCAACGCCGCGUGAGUGAUGAAGGUCUUCGGAUCGUAAAACUCUGUUAUUAGGGAAGAACAUAUGUGUAAGUAACUGUGCACAUCUUGACGGCACCUAAUCAGAAAGCCACGGCUAACUACGUG
rnacentral:rRNA from 1 species